CACGGGGGGAGCAAGCGUUGUUCGGAAUCACUGGGCUUACAGGGUGCGUAGGCGGUCUGUUAAGUAGGGUGUGAAAGCCCCCGGCUCAACCGGGGAAUUGCGCCCUAAACUGGCGGACUGGAGUGAGAUAGGGGUGUGCGGAACUUCCGGUGGAGCGGUGAAAUGUGUUGAUAUCGGAAGGAACGCCGGUGGCGAAAGCGGCACACUGGAUCUCAACUGACGCUGAGGCACGAAAGCCAGGGGAGCGAACGGG
rnacentral:rRNA from 1 species